rnacentral:tRNA from 1 species
GGUGUUGUGGCUCAGUGGUAGAGUGCUCACCUUGCAUGUGUGAAGCACUAGGUUCGAUACUCAGCACCA